rnacentral:tRNA from 1 species
GCCCACAUGACGGAAAUGGCAUACGUACUCGGCUAAGAACCGGGGCUUUGAGGGUUCGACUCCCUCUGUGGGUACCA